AAAAUAUAGGACUAACGUGUUAGACUAUCUUAGGCUUUUCCUUUCUUCUUUUUCAGGCAAAAUAUGAUUCAAUGAUUUGGUGUGUGAUGCCAGAAACUCCCUAGGGUAAUUCUAACUAGUAGGUCCUCAAAUUAAAUUUCAGUCAAGUCCAUUUGCCAGAAUUCAUCACAUGGUCCUGCCUAACUGCAAGAAGGGCAGGGUACGCAGGAAGAAGAAAGGAACCAGAUUUGAAUUAAUAUUUUUCGUGUUUUGUUGAAGAAGGAUCUAAACAUCAAAGGAG
rnacentral:lncRNA from 1 species